rnacentral:rRNA from 1 species
UGCCGCGUGAAUGAUGAAGGCCUUAGGGUUGUAAAAUUCUUUCGACAGGGAAGAUAAUGACGGUACCUGUUAAAGAAGCCCCGGCUAACUCCGUGCCAGCAGCCGCGGUAAUACGGAGGGGGCUAGCGUUGUUCGGAAUUACUGGGCGUAAUGCGUACGUAGGCGGACUAUUAAGUUAGAGGUGAAAUCCCGGGGCUCAACCCCGGAACUGCCUUUAAAACUGGUAGUCUUGAGUUAUGGAGAGGUAAGUGGAAUUCCUAGUGUAGAGGUGAAAUUCGUAGAUAUUAGGAGGAACACCAGAGGCGAAGGCGGCUUACUGGACAUAUACUGACGCUGAGGUACGAAAGUGUGGGGAGCGAACAGGAUUAGAUACCCUGGUAGUCCACACCGUAAACGAUGAGAGCUAGUUGUCUGCAGGCAUGCCUGUAGGUGACGCAGCUAACGCAUUAAGCUCUCCGCCUGGGGAGUACGGCCGCAAGGUUAAAACUCAAAGAAAUUGACGGGGGCCCGCACAAGCGGUGGA